GGGGAAUAUUGCACAAUGGGCGGAAGCCUGAUGCAGCGACGCCGCGUGGGGGAUGACGGUCUUCGGAUUGUAAACCCCUUUCAGUAGGGACGAAGCGCAAGUGACGGUACCUGCAGAAGAAGCACCGGCCAACUACGUGCCAGCAGCCGCGGUAAUACGUAGGGUGCGAGCGUUGUCCGGAAUUACUGGGCGUAAAGAGCUCGUAGGCGGUUUGUCACGUCGUCUGUGAAAUCCUCCAGCUUAACUGGGGGCGUGCAGGCGAUACGGGCAGACUUGAGUACUACAGGGGAGACUGGAAUUCCUGGUGUAGCGGUGAAAUGCGCAGAUAUCAGGAGGAACACCGGUGGCGAAGGCGGGUCUCUGGGUAGUAACUGACGCUGAGGAGCGAAAGCAUGGGUAGCGAAC
rnacentral:rRNA from 1 species